UACAGAGGUCUCAAGCGUUGUUCGGAUUCAUUGGGCGUAAAGGGUGCGUAGGCGGCGCGGUAAGUCGGGUGUGAAAUCUUGGAGCUUAACUCCGAAACUGCAUUCGAUACUGCCGUGCUUGAGGACUGGAGAGGAGACUGGAAUUUACGGUGUAGCGGUGAAAUGCGUAGAUAUCGUAAGGAGACCAGUGGCGAAGGCGGGUCUCUGGACAGUUCCUGACGCUGAGGCACGAAGGUCAGGGGAGCAAACGGG
rnacentral:rRNA from 1 species